GAUGAACGCUGGCGGCGUGCUUAACACAUGCAAGUCGAACGAUGAAGCCCAGCUUGCUGGGUGGAUUAGUGGCGAACGGGUGAGUAACACGUGAGUAACCUGCCCUUAACUCUGGGAUAAGCCUGGGAAACUGGGUCUAAUACCGGAUAGGAGCGUCCACCGCAUGGUGGGUGUUGGAAAGAUUUAUCGGUUUUGGAUGGACUCGCGGCCUAUCAGCUUGUUGGUGGGGUAAUGGCUCACCAAGGCGACGACGGGUAGCCGGCCUGAGAGGGUGACCGGCCACACUGGGACUGAGACACGGCCCAGACUCCUACGGGAGGCAGCAGUGGGGAAUAUUGCACAAUGGGCGAAAGCCUGAUGCAGCGACGCCGCGUGAGGGAUGACGGCCUUCGGGUUGUAAACCUCUUUCAGUAGGGAAGAAGCGAAAGUGACGGUACCUGCAGAAGAAGCACCGGCUAACUACGUG
rnacentral:rRNA from 1 species